AGCUUGACACUGAACAUUGAGCCUUGAUGUGUAGGAUAGGUGGGAGGCUUUGAAGUGUGGACGCCAGUCUGCAUGGAGCCGACCUUGAAAUACCACCCUUUAAUGUUUGAUGUUCUAACGUUGGCCCGUUAUCCGGGUUGCGGACAGUGUCUGGUGGGUAGUUUGACUGGGGCGGUCUCCUCCUAAAGAGUAACGGAGGAGCACGAAGGUUGGCUAAUCCUGGUCGGACAUCAGGAGGUUAGUGCAAUGGCAUAAGC
rnacentral:rRNA from 1 species